AUUGAACGCUGGCGGCAUGCCUUACACAUGCAAGUCGAACGGCAGCACGGGAGCAAUCCUGGUGGCGAGUGGCGAACGGGUGAGUAAUAUAUCGGAACGUGCCCAGUCGUGGGGAUAACGUAGCGAAAGCUACGCUAAUACCGCAUACGAUCUAUGGAUGAAAGCGGGGGAUCGCAAGACCUCGCGCGAUUGGAGCGGCCGAUAUCAGAUUAGGUAGUUGGUGAGGUAAAGGCUCACCAAGCCGACGAUCUGUAGCUGGUCUGAGAGGACGACCAGCCACACUGGGACUGAGACACGGCCCAGACUCCUACGGGAGGCAGCAGUGGGGAAUUUUUGGACAAUGGGCGCAAGCCUGAUCCAGCAAUGCCGCGUGCAGGAUGAAGGCCUUGGUUGUAACUGCUUUGUACGAACGAACGGUGAGCGUCUAAUACAGUUUGCUAAUGACGUACCGUAAGAAUAAGCA
rnacentral:rRNA from 1 species